rnacentral:rRNA from 1 species
CGCUAUAAUGCAGUCGAACGGGCCUGAUUUCGGUCAGGCUAGUGGCGGACGGGUGAGUAACACGUGGGUGAUCUACCCCAAAGUCUGGGACAACUAGGGGAAACCUUAGCUAAUCCCGGAUGGUGAGGCUUCUCCUGUGAAGUCUCUAAAGAUUUAUCGCUUUGGGAUGAGCCCGCGGCGCAUCAGCUAGUUGGUGGGGUAAUGGCCUACCAAGGCGACGACGCGUAGCUGGUCUGAGAGGACGACCAGCCACAGGAGCACUGAGACACGGGCUCCACUCCUACGGGAGGCAGCAGUUAGGAAUCUUCGUCAAUGGGCGAAAGCCUGAACGAGCGACGCCGCUUGAGGGACGAAGCCCUUCGGGGUGUAAACCUCUGAACAGGGGACGAUGAUGACGGUACCCUGCUAAUAGCACCGGCUAACUCCGUGCCAGCAGCCGCGGUAAUACGGAGGGUGCGAGCGUUACCCGGAUUUACUGGGCGUAAAGGGCGUGUAGGCGGUUUUCUAAGUCCGGGGCUAAAGACCAGGGCUCAACCCUGGGUUUGCCUUGGAUACUGGAAAGCUCGACGGCUGGAGGGGGCAGCGGAAUUUCCGGAGUAGCGGUGAAAUGCGCAGAUACCGGAAGGAACGCCAAUAGCGAAGGCAGCUGCCUGGACAGUACGUGA